UACAGAGGGUGCGAGCGUUAAUCGGAAUUACUGGGCGUAAAGCGUGCGCAGGCGGUUUUGUAAGUCUGUCGUGAAAUCCCCGGGCUCAACCUGGGAAUUGCGAUGGAGACUGCAAGGCUAGAAUCUGGCAGAGGGGGGUAGAAUUCCACGUGUAGCAGUGAAAUGCGUAGAGAUGUGGAGGAACACCGAUGGCGAAGGCAGCCCCCUGGGUCAAGAUUGACGCUCAUGCACGAAAGCGUGGGGAGCAAACGAGGAU
rnacentral:rRNA from 1 species